UACGUAGGGCGCAAGCGUUGUCCGGAAUCAUUGGGCGUAAAGAGCUCGUAGGUGGUCUGUUACGUCUGCUGUGAAAUCCUAGGGCUUAACCCUGGGCCUGCAGUGGAUACGGGCAGACUAGAGGCAUGCAGGGGAGAACGGAAUUCCUGGUGUAGCGGUGAAAUGCGCAGAUAUCAGGAGGAACACCUGUGGCGAAGGCGGUUCUCUGGGCAUGUCCUGACGCUGAGGAGCGAAAGCGUGGGGAGCAAACAGG
rnacentral:rRNA from 1 species